GUCGACAGGGAGUCGUACAACGAAGCGAACGUCAGGAUGAUGACGCUUCAGCAGGACACGCCAGGAUGGUGUUACAAGGAAAGGCUUCAGGAUGAAGCAAAGUGGAAAGCGCAGGAUGCGUUAAAGGACACCUCCAGGACGGAGAACGAGAGCCGAUCAGGAUGUUCGGCGGGUCUGGAUGACCAGGGACGCUUCAGGAAGAAGCUAUCACAUCGGGCGAUGUGCGCAGGAUGCAAACGUUCAGGAUGAACAGGCCGUAAGGUCACAGGAAAAGUUGUCACGGAUGAGCAGGGAGCACGAAAAGUAGCUGGAAUGCUGCGAAACGAACCGGGAGCACUGUUUAUACAGUGCUCCCUUUUUUUU
rnacentral:other from 2 species